rnacentral:rRNA from 1 species
AUACGGAGGAUCCGAGCGUUAUCCGGAUUUAUUGGGUUUAAAGGGUGCGCAGGCGGCCAUUUAAGUCAGCGGUUAAAUCGUGGGGCUCAACCCCAUUCUGCCGUUGAUACUGGGUGGCUUGAUUGCGGUCGAGGUUGGCGGAAUUCGUUGUGUAGCGGUGAAAUGCAUAGAUAUGACGAAGAACACCGAUUGCGUAGGCAGCUGACCAGAACGCAAAUGACGCUCAUGCACUAAAGUGCGGGGAUCGAACAGGAUUAGAUACCCUGGUAGUCCGCACAGUAAACGAUGAAUACUUGUUUUCGGCGAUAUAAUGUCGGAGGCAAAGCGAAAGCGAUAAGUAUUCCACCUGGGGAGUACGCCGGCAACGGUGAAACUCAAAUGAAUUGGCGGGG